rnacentral:tRNA from 1 species
GGAGAGGUGGCUGAGUGGUCGAAGGCGGUGCACUCGAAAUGCAUUGUACCCUCUGGGUACCCAGGGUUCGAAUCCCUGCCUCUCCGCCA